rnacentral:misc_RNA from 1 species
UCCGGCUUAUCACCGGCGGUUUCUUUAGAGUCCCCAACUAAAUGCUGGCAACUAAGGACAAGGGUUGCGCUCGUUACGGGACUUAACCCAACAUCUCACAACACGAGCUGACGACAGCCAUGCAGCACCUGUCUCUGCGCUCCUUUCGGCACUCCCAACUCUCAUCGGGAUUCGCAGGAUGUCAAGGGUAGGUAAGGUUCUUCGCGUUGCAUCGAAUUAAACCACAUGCUCCACCGCUUGUGCGGGCCCCCGUCAAUUCAUUUGAGUUUCAACCUUGCGGCCGUACUUCCCAGGUGGAAUACUUAUCGCGUUAGCUUCAAGACUGAUAGGUUCCCCUACCAACCUUUAGUACUCAUCGUUUACAGCGUGGACUAC